CUGGUAGCAAGUCUGACAUUAUUAUUAUUUUUUUUUUCAAUUGAAGCCUCACCCCUCCCUUGAACUCAACAUGGGGACUUCUUUCUGGACAAAGGGGAGAGACCUGGUCCUCUGUCCAAGGAGCAUCAGGAAUGUGUGGCUCACAGUUCUGGAAGACGGAGGUCCGAGGUCGAAGGCCCAGCAGCUUCGGUGUCUGGUGCGGAACCGCCUUCCAGCUGGUGGCUGGACCAGAGUUUCCCGAUAGCCUCUGGGAAUGGCAGGGACAGUGGGGGAGGAGGUCCCAGGGGAUUUUAUUAACAGAAGGGGGGAGAGAGGGUAGAGAAAGGUAAUGGGAACAAGUAGCUGAAAAUAUGCCCUGGAGAGCAGGGGAGGAGGCUGAGCAGGCAACUUCAAAAGGGAUGGAAGAAAAUGGGGGCUGCGGAGAGUUGAAGAGUGACCCCAAAAGAUAUGUCCAUCCAGAACCUCAGAAUGUGACCUUGUUUGGAAUAAGGGCUUUUGAGGAUAUAAUUCAGGAGCCCGGGGGCACAGGCACGCAGAAGAGACUUUCCCACAGCGGUUCCCAGAGCCCUGGAUGAGGCGUCCUCCAAAGGAUUAUGUCACCAAGUUUCUGCAGGUGAUGAGUUUGGGAGCUGUUGGGUCAACUGAAGGUCAUAUAUGUGAGUGUGUUGCAAAUCUCCAGGGGGCUUUAGAAUGUGGGGUUUUCUCAAACUGUUUAACAAGGCGGCUUUGUU
rnacentral:lncRNA from 1 species